CCAGGGUGGACCGGAGGGUAACCUGACCCCCUGGACCAGGAAUGGGGGCCCAGGGUGGACCGGAGGGUAACCUGACCCCCUGGACCAGGAAUGGGGGCCCAGGGUGGACCGGAGGGUAACCUGACCCCCUGGACCAGGAAUGGGGCCCCAGGGUGGACCGGAGGGAAGCUGAUGACCAACCAGGAACGAGACGAGGACUACGAUGGGACUGCUUAAGUCUUCUGAAGGAGUCCUUGGCUGAGGAGGGCUGAUGGGGGAACCGUACAUCUGGAGGAAGACCAUGGAUCUGCCGGCCAAUAAGGAACAUGGAGGGGUACCCACCGGUGGGUUGCAGACCAUGGCUCUGUGGUGGAGGGGAGCUUACGGAGUUGUGCUGAUGACCACCUCCUGGGACCAGAAUUCCUUUGCCGAGGAGAGCUGACGGAGGAGCGAGGCACCAGGAGGAAGACCGUGACUCCGUCUACCAGCCAGUGGAAACUAGGACUCCGGGAUGGAGGGGAGUGAUGGAGGGAGCCGUGCUCAGGAUCUGCUGGGGGAGGAUGUCCCUCGUGGCGUAAUGGCACCCGUCUCUGAGAUGACUCAGACGACCCACCAGGAUCUGCUCGGAGGACUACGAUGUGACUGCUGAAUUCUCUGGAAGAAUAAAGCUGCACCCACCCAUGGCUCAACUAAUGGUGUUAACCAGACCAGGAACCUUGGCCGAGACCUGAAGGAGGAGCCGCGCAUCUGGAGGAACACCACGAGGCUACCUGCCAAGGAUUACUGGUGCGGUUGAAAUGCUGUGUUCGGUCCGGGGGAAGACACAACUGAGCCGUAUCUCACCUGCAUCUGAACCUCUGGAGCUCUUCAGAGUGACCAACCCGCGGCGCCGCAUCACAGCUCCUCGUCGCUGGCCUGUGGAUUCAUCUUCUAACCCACUUGCAGAACGUGACUUUGUCACCAUCUGCUGCACGUCAGGAGGCUACGUGUUCCAUCGAUGGUUUCCUUCCUCCCCACAGUGGGAGUGUUCCUUGUUUUUUCAAGUCGUUGGGGUUCAGAGUUAGGGACAGAGUUAGGGAAAGAUGGUUAAUUCAUGGCCUGGUUUCACGACAAACUGCUCGAAUUGGGACACACCAGUCCACCCCAAAAUGUUUCAAUGUGCACAUGCUUGUUCAAAUGUAUACAAAGGUGUUUUAUAAUAUAAAAUACUAUUCAAAUCCUA
ensembl:lncRNA